GUUUGUCAUGUUCUCUAAGGUGAUCACGUCUAUCUUUUUACUUUUUCCAGUCAAUGAGUUUAAACUAAGUGAUCAUGGUUGUUUUCAUGCAAUUCUAUUUCUAAGAAAGAGAAAAAAGAACACUCAAUUGAAAUUUAAAUACAAAACAAUAAGUAAACACUCAAUAAAUGGUCAUAGGAAAAAUAAUAAAUCUAACAUGCAACCCUAAAUGGUAGAGAAAAAUGAAAUGGUAGAAAUAAAACCCGCACCUCAUUGGGUGUUUAUACAAAUGAAGUGACCUGAAACAUAUAUUAAGAAUAUAGUCGGAAUAAGAAUAUAGUCGGAAUGAACAUUGACGUUCCAUCGUGUUCAUAUCUUGAUGAUUUUCCACCUCCAAAGGCCUAAUAUAAUCCUGACUUAAAUCUAGACUGGGUACAUACAAUAGGAAAGAAACAAUUGCUCAAGGCAAAAUCAACCACAACCAUGAAACAAACAAAAAGAGUCAAGCAAUUGGAAGAAGAUUCAAAAUCAAUCAAUUUGAGUCUCAGGGCCGGCCUUUACAAUUCACAUGUCGAUCCCUCUACACACCUAUCCCAAUUCAUUUUCAUGGCUUACAUUCAUUAGUGACUAUUUGUGUUCUCGCAUAGCCAUUAACACCUAUAAGUCCCUAAGACAUGUUCUAGGUGAGCCCCAAAAUAUAUCCAUGGAAUCAAGCAUCGUACUUAAGCAUACAUUUAGAAUUCACAUGCAUUAUGAGAAAUAAACAUGUAGGCAGGCCCUCAGGCCUUAUUUCUCAAACAAUCAAAUAAUUUU
rnacentral:lncRNA from 1 species